rnacentral:ribozyme from 1 species
UAUAUAGGAGGAAUGAAAAGAGACAAAGCAAAGAAGACAAAAGAAAGAAGGUAAUGAAAUGAAAAGAAAGCACGCUUCUUUCUUUCUCUUCUUUCUUUGUGCUUUUCA